rnacentral:rRNA from 1 species
GGGUAGCCGGCCUGAGAGGGCGACCGGCCACAUUGGGACUGAGAUACGGCCCAGACUCCUACGGGAGGCAGCAGUGGGGAAUAUUGCACAAUGGGCGCAAGCCUGAUGCAGCGACGCCGCGUGCGGGAUGGAGGCCUUCGGGUUGUAAACCGCUUUUGUUGGGGAGCAAGCGAUAAGUGAGUGUACCUUUCGAAUAAGCACCGGCUAACUACGUGCCAGCAGCCGCGGUAAUACGUAGGGUGCAAGCGUUAUCCGGAAUUAUUGGGCG